AUCUCCUGGAGAUAGAACCUCACUGUUCUUUUGAGCAUCUUGGCGAGUGGACGUAUAGUGCGUGUCUUAGCGUUUUAAACAUGGAGAACCCCAAAAUUAAAAUCAAAAUCAAAAUCAAAAUUACAAUUAAAGUCAAAAUAACAUCAAACAACGUUGAUGUGCCAAAGCCUGAAACAACUGAAAAUGACGGGGGUUCACUCCCACAGCCGGAGAGCGCGGCAGCGAAACAUGCACGUCUCCGCAGCCAGCUGCCUCGGCUAAAGACAUACAAGGAGAUGCCAGAGCCUCCUAACAUGGA